GCCUAUCCUGAAAUAUGAUUACACCUUCCCCUGCAGUCCCCAGCACCACAUCCCACACAAUUCCACAGGCAAGUGGCAUUGGGGACUACAGUGAGAAGGAUGUAAUUGACAAAAAUCACCUCCCGGCUCUCCACCAGAAGGAACCCACUGCUGGAUCCAAAGUCUGGAUCCAGCCUAUGGUUUUGAUGAAUAAAACCUUAAGUGGCAAGAGAUUUAAUACACAGCGCUGGAAUGUAACACAACUGCUCUGAGCUUGAAAGAUCUGAGAACUUUGGGUUCUCUUCCUCCUUUGAAGUCUCAAGUUGCAGGCUUGCAAAAUAAUGAACUCCAAUGUGGGCCAGAAGACCAAGACUUUGCAUAUGGUUGGGUAUACAGGGAACUGAACAGAUCCUUACUCCAAACCUGAAAACUGCAGUUAAGUGGACCAAAGUUUCCGUGCCAUAGCAACCACCUCAUGAUCAGGAGGAUUAUACUUGUAACAAUUGGAAAACAUCAAUCUGACAUCAGCUGCAAAUUCCUGAGCAUCUCUAUAAUCCCGGUUCUCCAGUUUCGACUACAAAUGUAAAAAAUUAAAAUUCUGCCAUUAAUAUUUCAAAUACAAUACAUGAAGAAUAUGGAGCAAUGAAACCAAUAUUUUUGCACUUC